UACGAAGGGGGCGAGCGUUGUUCGGAAUCACUGGGCGUAAAGGGCGCGUAGGCGGCCCUCUUAGUCGCGUGUGAAAGCCCCGGGCUCAACCUGGGAACGGCGCGCGAAACGGGAGGGCUGGAGUUCGGGAGAGGAGAGUGGAAUUCCCAGUGUAGAGGUGAAAUGCGUAGAUAUCGGGAGGAACACCUGUGGCGAAGGCGGCCCCCUGGUUGGAUACUGACGCUGAGACGCGAAAGCGUGGGGAGCAAACAGG
rnacentral:rRNA from 1 species